UAGCCAGACUCCUACGGGAGGCAGCAGUGGGGAAUAUUGCACAAUGGGGGGAAACCCUGAUGCAGCAACGCCGCGUGAGUGAGGAAGUAUUUCGGUAUGUAAAGCUCUAUCAGCAGGGAAUAGAAAAGAAGGUACCUGAAAAAGAAGCCCCGGCUAACUACGUGCCAGCAGCCGCGGUAAUACGUAGGGGGCAAGCGUUAUCCGGAUUUACUGGGUGUAAAGGGGGCGCAGACGGCGAUGCAAGCCAGGAGUGAGAGCCCGGGGCCCAACCCCGGGACUGCUCUUGGAACUGCGGCGCUGGAGUACGGGAGGGGCAGGCGGAAUUCCUGGUGUAGCGGUGAAAUGCGUAGAUAUCAGGAGGAACACCGGCGGCGAAGGCGGCCUGCUGGACCGUGACUGACGUUGAGGCUCGAGAGCGUGGGGAGCAAACAGGAUUAGAUACCCCAGUA
rnacentral:rRNA from 1 species